rnacentral:rRNA from 1 species
ACGAACGCUGGCGGCGUGCUUAACACAUGCAAGUCGAACGGAAAGGCCCCUUUGGGGGUCCUCGAGUGGCGAACGGGUGAGUAACACGUGAGUAACCUGCCCUUGACUUCGGGAUAACUUCAGGAAACUGGGGCUAAUACCGGAUAGGAAUCCUUGCUGCAUGGUGGGGGUUGGAAAGCUUCGGCGGUUUUGGAUGGACUCGCGGCUUAUCAGCUUGUUGGUGGGGUAGUGGCUUACCAAGGCUUUGACGGGUAGCCGGCCUGAGAGGGCGACCGGCCACAUUGGGACUGAGAUACGGCCCAGACUCCUACGGGAGGCAGCAGUGGGGAAUAUUGCACAAUGGGCGGAAGCCUGAUGCAGCAACGCCGCGUGCGGGAUGACGGCCUUCGGGUUGUAAACCGCUUUCAGCAGGGGCGAAGCUUUUGUGACGGUACCUGCAGAAGAAGCACCGGCUAACUACGUG